rnacentral:rRNA from 1 species
UACGGAGGGGGCUAGCGUUGUUCGGAAUUACUGGGCGUAAAGCGCACGUAGGCGGCCAUUUAAGUCAGAGGUGAAAGCCCAGGGCUCAACCUUGGAACUGCCUUUGAAACUGGAUGGCUUGAACAUAGGAGAGGCGAGUGGAAUUCCGAGUGUAGAGGUGAAAUUCGUAGAUAUUCGGAAGAACACCAGUGGCGAAGGAGACGCGCUGGACUAUUGGUGACGAUGAGGUGCGAAAGCGUGGGGAGCAAACAGG